AUUCAUUGGACUAUUAGGUGUUCCACGAAUACUAUCUCACGCAGAAAUAGUAGAACCACUUCCCGAGAUAGUCCAACACUCAUCUAGUGAAAGCCUAUCUCCCUAACCAUGAGGGUUUCCGUUGGGAAUAUCUCAAGAUUCAUUGUGCAGGUUCAUUUUGCACGAGCUUGAGAUAGACACUCUACAGCAAACAGAAAACCGUAGUCACAUAACCCAUUCGAUGACCUAGAAAAGCCUGUAAAAGCCAAUUGAUAGGAAAACGCGAAACCAAGGAAAACUUGAGCUUCCUAAGAACCAACCUGAAGGAUUACACUACCAGUAUGGGAGAGAACGUUAGGAACUUCGGAAUGGCGAUCACGCCAGUGGUGAUCUUGCCAUAGAAGUACACUAUGUUCUAAGUACUGAAAAGCUCUACCCUUCCGAGAGCUUAGGACCAUCUGAGAAUCCUCGCGGAGAUUUGGUCCAACCCUCGUCAGACCACUACUACUUCCGGAUAUUCCACAAGUUUCACAACCGAUCGAUCCACUUCUUAGACUUGAUAUGUGUUUACCCAACGUCACUCUUCGUAUCCCACUCAUCUUGAUAGAGACCAUUGAGAACCCUAACCUCGUAAAUACACCAGUCGGAACCCACUAACUACACGAGACGGAAUCCGCAUCCCGUAGGUGAAGGUUUAUUGGAAUGACAAACACAGACCAUAGUUCACUUGGGAAUGCGAGGACAAACCGAAUAGGAAGUACCCUCCUUCCUCUAUCAUUCAUACCUACUUCCUUGCCUAGACCUGAAUUUCGGGACGAAAUUCCCUCUAACGGGGGGAUGAUGUGACAACCAAAUGUUUAUUCCGUUACAUUACCCCGUUACUGUUAACGGAAUAUUUCAUUUUAUAAAAGUUCCGUUAAUUUGAGGUCGUAAAAUAAAUAAAUGUUUUAUUUAUUUAUAUUCUAUGUCGUUAUUUGUCGUAAUAAAGUAAAGUAAAAACACUUAAGUUACAUUUCCAUAUUAAUUUGGAAAAAGUUAAUUUUAUUACGACCACUAAAUCGGGUGCAACCAAAAGCCCCGUUUAACGGCAGUAUCGGGUANAGAUUCCCACUGAGCUUCAACUCCCCCCUAUAUAUAAGGGUGAGUGGAUUCCAUUAGAGACUUUUUACACUCUCUCCACUCUCUCUCUCUACAACUUAAAUUCGAGCCAAAAAUCGUCUGUUUCAAGCCCCAAAUGAGUAAGCCAACUAUCCUAACUUGUAAUAUAGCAUAUCUAGCCUGCAAAUUCGAGUUUAAAUCAUAAAUUAGGGACAGAAUGAAGUGUUUACGGCCCAAGAACACUCUUGGACCAUGAACACCAUUUAAUGGGGUUUUUAAGCCCCAAAACCCCUCCAAAUUGCCCUUAAGACUUGGAUAUGACUUUCAGGCUUACAUAUUCGGACUUAGAACACCUUGAAACGAGUUUUUGAAGAGUAAACAUGAUUUUACUGCCCAAGAACAUACUUGGGCCGUAAACUCCUCCUCAUGGGGAGUAAACUCAUAUUUGAGUGUUUAAAAGCCACUUAAACGCACCAAUGGCCGUAGAAUAAGUUCAAGAAUCAACCACCAACAAGUUAGGGGCCUUAAACUCAAUUAAAACAACUCCAUAAGGAGUUCAUGGCCGUAAACCCCUGAUGAAAGGGUACCUGGGCCGUAAACUCCUAUAAAGUGGUUAAGUGGUGCCCAAAAAGUCCCCAUUUGACUUGGAAAAAUGCAUAGGAUUUUAUCCUCUACCAUUUAAGACUUCAAAACACCAAAAGAAUGAGUAUAUAGGAGCUUACGGCCAUAAAUUCCUAGUUUAGGGUCGUAAACUCCUCAAAUGGUCCAUGUGAAGCGUUAAAUCCAUUCAUAUAAUUUAUUUUGGGACCUAGUAUAAAUCUACAAUUGAUAUGAGACCAUCUAGCAUCCUAGAACACCCUCACCAUGAGUUUACGGCCGUAAACUCAUGGGGAGUUGUCCCAGAGCCGUGAACUCUAUAUAUAGAGUUUACUCUUGAAGAGUAAACUCCAUUCCUAAGCCAUUCAAGCCCUUAAAUGUUACCUGGGACACCCCAAACACUUAAUCAAAGUGUUUUCCGCACUUUAGGAUGCGUGUACUUGUAUAAUUGGUAUUAUAUAUACUAAUUGUAUGAAAACAUAUGUUACCAUAGGUUAAUAGGUCACUAAGUGUAUUCAAGUCUUUACUUGACACCGAGCACCCAACCGGCACCUUCGUCGGAUCCACUUACAUCAGGUGAGUUCAUACCCCUGAGUGAACCUUUUAAAUGUUUUUACAUGUUUUAUAGGGGGGGGAAUACAAGUUAAACAUGCCAGUUAUCAUAUCAAUCACAUGUGAUUGAUAACCCGCAUGCACAAGGAUUUACCACACUGUAAACUGUUUUACCGAGUAGGAUACUAUAAAUGGUUUUCUAAAAUGUUUUUACUUGUUCAAAACUCUUACUUAUACUGUUUUAUCAAAGUUCAUUUUAAACUGGUUUAUGAAAGGUUCCCAAAGAAUUUCUAAAGGUUUUCAAACUUAUUUUACCAAACAAUACCAAGUUGUGAUUUUCUUAAGUAUAAAGGUUUUUCCAAGGUUUUCAUCAAAGUUCUCUUUCAUGCCGAAUACUCUUACUUGUUAGAUACCGCUGCUUCGCUUUUACUUAGUUUAAACUCCUACCUGAUAACGUUUCCACUUCGUGAUACACUUAUAUUUGGUAACGCUUAUACUUUACGAUUCGGUUAUUCACACUGUUCAUUUAUACUUCACGAUUCGGUUAUUCCACACUGUUCGUUCACACUUCACGAUUCGGUUAUUCCACACUGUUCAUUUAUACUUCACGAUUCGGUUAUUCCACACUGUUCGUUCACACUUCACGAUUCGGUUAUCCCACACUGUUCGGAUAUACCUCACGAUUCGCUUAUACAUCACGAUUCGGUUAUACUUCACAAUACAUUUCCACUUGUUAAACACUCAGACGUAGUUAGAUGUAUCUCUGUGCUUGUAUAGGUGCAUAUAAAUAAUGAUGGAAGGACUUAGGAAGGCUUGUCCGCCCUAUUUCCUUUUCUUCGUUGAGAUGUGGUCUGGUGGGAUCGGAUGGCCGUCCGAAGGUCGUUUGAUUUAUUAGUUAUAUAUUAUGUAUGCAAGCAUAGACAUAUAGGUUUACAUUAGUUAGUUCAGUUAUGAGUCUCUACCUCUAGUUCAACACUUAUAUUGGAAACCCACUACCCACUAUUUGGGAUGCAUCUUCGGGACACGGCCUUCUCCGUCGUCUAGUUGGUAACCAGAGUCUCCUGUAGGGAGAAUAGACAUUGUGUGUAUAGAUCUAUACGGGAUUUACACCCCCGCACCUUGACUGCUAGCUACAUUCCACGGCCUACCAAGCCAAGGGGUGACAAAUGUCAUAUUUUAUAUUGACGCUUGUAGGGCGUCAGGUAGUCUAGUGUCGGUUAGUAUGGUUACGAGUAUCCCAGGUUACCUUAUAAUUCAUGGCCUUAAGGUAACGGUAUUUCUCACUGUAUUUUACAAUGUACUUUACACUGUAUGCUGAAAACCCACUCUUAGAGUCACACUAUUUUUAGACCUUGCUAGCUGUAUCUUUUAUUUGAUACAGUCUGGGGUCUGUACUCCUUGUUUUAGACCUUACUAGCUGUGUCUUUCAUUUGAUACUGUCUGGGGUCUGUAGUCUCUAUUUUUAGACCUUGCUAGCCGUACCUUUCAUUUGGUACAGUCUGGGGUCUGUGUCUCCCUUUGUUAGACUGAGCUUGGCGUGUCGUUUGUUCGAUACUCUCCUGGAGUCUAUGAGUCCUUUUGCCUUAGUCAGCAGUUUCAAUGCUGAGGCAUAUGUUAUUUUCCCUGAUUUCUCUUGCUUUCUUUAAUAAUCAAAUUUUGUAUUUUGAUAAUGAUAGUGAUUAAGGGAAAACUACUUUUUGAUAAUGAUAUAGGAUUUUCUGGAAAAGACACUAAUUUAAUGGAUACUCUAAAACUACCACUUUUAUUAAAGUUAUUUGAAUAAAAUGACACUAAAUACUUAUGAACUCACCAGCAUUUGUAAAAAUGUUGAAACUCGCUUUGCAAAUAACUUGUAUUCUUAGGUCAGCAUUAGACAAGUACAUCCUCGGAGCUUCUGAUGAAGACAAUUUAGUACCAAGCUGUACCUAUAUUAAUACUUGUAUUACUUUGUUGUAUUGUAAUGUAAACCAUGUAAAACUAUUUCUAUUAAUUCAAUGGUUAUUGUACUUUGAUUACUAUAAUGCAUGUGUUGUGAUACUUGACAUGAUGUCAUCCACCCCAGAACGUUUCCGCCGUUCUGGUUUUGGGGUGUGACAUGUAGUUUGCUCCCGAAUCAAAUAGUAUAUUGGCAGGUAAUGCAUUUACAAGAAAGGUACCUAAAGCGACAUCUGCUGCCUCGUUCGCAGCUUCAAGCGUCAUUUGGAAGGCUCUCGCCGUCGGUUUCAGUGGAAUGUUGGGUCUUGUUGCCUCCUUCUUCUUCGGGAAGUCCCUCAAGAUGUGCCCCUCUUCUUUGCACUCAUAACAAACUUUCUUGGCAAGGGUGCAUUCAUUGGCAUAGUGCCCAGGCUUUCCACAUUUGAAACAAGUGACCUCCCCAUCACAUUUCCCAUGGUGCAUCUUCUUGCAUUUGUCGCACCAUUUGGCUUCACCUCCUCCAAACUUCUUAGUACCAGACUUUGAGAACUUUCUCUUCUUGUUGAAUUUCGAUGACCCAUCAAAUUUUCUUUUCUCACUAACCUCUAUUUUUAUAGACCAUUCUAUCUUAUCUGGGUGUCCACAUUCUUAGCAGCCCAGAUGGCGGCUUUCAGAGUGGUUGCUUGCUUGACCAUCAAACCAAAGUCCACUGGUAAUUCACGGGCAAACUUGUUAACCUUGGAGAGUUUGGUUGGAAAUAGGUAAGGAACAAGCUUCAUCUUUCCCGUAAAACUUGUAGCAUACUCAGUGACACUCAUUUUUCCCUUAUUCAGAUUUUGGAACUCAUUGUUGAUUUCCAUAAGAUCCUGCUCAGAGCACUAUGACAUCUUCAGCUGCACCAAGAAAUCCUCCCAAGAAAUUUUGUUCACUUCGCCCUUGGGCAUUGAAUCGGCUAGUAACUUCCACCAACUCAGUACUCCAUAUUUUAAUAGGGGAACCGUGAGAGUGGUCUUCUACCUGUUGCUACACUCGCAACUUUCAAACAUUGCCUCCAUCUUGGAGAUCCUGUCCAUAACUUCCACCGGUGUUGGGCUUCCAGAAAGACAUGGUGGUUUGGAUGCCAUUAAAUCCUUGUAUUUGCAACCACGUUCAUCCUUUCCUCUAUCCUGGUUGUUUCUUCUAAAUAUCGGUGGGUUGGCUAGAUCAACGGUCCCACUUUAGUUCCCUCCUUCUGACUUCCCAUCAUUUAGUUCAGGAUGUUUGAUCAGUAUUGUAGCUUCCUCUCGAUUCUGUUGAAGUAAACGUCUGGUCUCCUCCAUUUGACGAUCCAACAACAUUUGGAUCAUCGCUUGUACUCCGGCCAUCGUGAGUGGUUCAGUAGCGGCUACCAAAAUAGGUAUUUUCUCAAUCAAUGGGGGAUGUUGAUUCCUGUUUCCAUUUGCAUUCCUGACUCCACUUCGGGUUCUUUCCAUUUUGAUCUAUACAUCGAAAUAGGUGAAUUUAGAUCUAUAUUUUCGAUAGACGUUUAAAUCAUCCAUAUCUCUCUGAAACGUUUACAUGUUAGUUCUAAUAUUGUAGUCGUACGUUUAGAAUCCUAAGCACAUAAGGUUUCCAGAUCCGGUCAGCAACAUACCAUAGAUCCGAACACAUAAUAGCAUAUCAGGUAAAAAACUUUUAGCAUAUAAAAGUAUAUUAGGCAUCUUUCCUAAAAUACGCUAGUGCUCGUGUCUAAAAUAUAGUAGACACUCAUCUCACUAUCAUCGCUUAGCUUUCUAAGUUUAAGUCUAGAAAUCCUACAAAUUCCUAGUUCGCUUAAACUAAUGCUCUGAUACCAACUAUGACAUCCCCAUUUUCACGGCCAGAAAUGACCGAUUUUGUUUAUGCUUUGUUUAAAAGUUCAUAUUAAGUGUAGAUUUUUAUUCAUUUAUUAGCUAAAUUAUUGCAUUUCAUGGACAAAAGGUACUUAAAAGUGUUUGACUUAUAUUUUUAGUCAAAAAAUGAAGCUCGGAAGCACAAGGAAGCAGGAGAAGCGGUUGAGAGCUCGAGAAUGGAACAAAGAAGAAAAAAACACAAAAAAUAACACCUACUCGGCGAGUAGGGUCGACUACUCGGCGAUUCCACACGAAUAUUCGAGAAGAUAAUGACUCGGAGAGCCAGAGACUUAUCGCAUAUGGGGACUGUGAGAUGGACUCGACGAGUCGACACCUGACUCGACGAGUCGAUUCGUAUAUAUAAAGAUAACUCCUCAGAACGAUAGAGGAGAAUUUUGGAACAAUUCAGAAGUGGUUAGUUGCGAUUAAAGAGUCAGAAAAACCCCAGAGGACGAAGUUAGAAGCUAGAAUCCAAUUACGAAGGAGAUUUGAGGCAAAUUUCAUCAUUCUACUUAAUCUUUUGUUUUUCAUUAUGGUUAAACAAUUAGAAUCUGUUGGUUUGUUGUUAUUUACUUCAAUCAAGAGCUAAAACUCUUAAACUUCUGUUUGGGGAUACAAAAUUGAUACUAUGGUUUGAUUCUUGGUAGGAUUAAUUUAAAGUUGGUGAUUUUUGUUAUUUUAGUUUGCUAAAGAACCUUAUGUGUGAAUGAUAAUUAAUUUUCUGUUAAUAGGAAGGUAAUUGAUUAGCAUGAACAUCUAUUAAUUAUCAACCUCAUAUGCUAUGUGAUCACUUUGUCAUAUGUCUAGGAAUAAUGAACAUGAAACUAGAGUCAAUAAGAAAAUUAAGUAAAUUCAUGUAUGAGCUUGUGUGAUGACCAUCAACAAGAAGUUAAUUAAAGAACCAAAUUAGUUAACUAUUGCAAGUCUAAAUUAACCCGAAUAAUUAAUCUAGUGAAUUUAAUUAAAUUAGACAACUGGCCACUGUUUAAGUUAGUUUAUUUGCUAAGGAUUAGUGUAGUGAAUGCGAAUCUAAUCAAUUGAAUCGGUAACCAACAAAAGAGUUAAUCCAUUGCACUAUUACCUUGAAAUCAACCAUAGCAUCAAUUGAGUUGAACUAAACAGAAGUUCUUUCCCAUUAUUGAAUCUAGUUAAUUCUUUGUUUUCCUAUGUUUUAAAUUAAGUAAUAGUUAGUAAGUUUUCUAGUCUUGUAAAACUAGAAGAAAACCCCCUACUUAUUAGUUAAUUUAGAUAGAAUUAGUUUUUAGUUUUAAUUUUCCGUUCCCUGUGUUCGAUAUCCUACUUAUUUAACUAUACCACAAUUGAUAGGUUCACUGCCUUCGUGUGUUUAUUUUAUAAUUAAAAGUAGGUUUAAAACUAAGUGAGUUUGCACACAUCAAGUUUUUGGCGUCGUUGUCGGGGAACGGUUCUAAAAUUAACGUUAAAUUCUAGUUUUAUUGAUCCUUUGUGUGGGAUUUAUCUUACACAAAGUUAUUUAAAAGGUAAUUUAGUAAGUAGUAUAAGUUUUGAUAAAAAUUCGUUUUUAAAGUAACUAGAAAAAAUUUUCUGUGUUUUGCCUUGAACUCGCCGAGUGCACUCGUGCCGACUCGGCGAGUACAUCGCUGUUACAGUUUUAAUGUUUUAUUUUAUUUUUGUUUAUAGUUGUUUCAUGACCCGAGGAUCUGAUACACCUCUGGUCCCUCCUCUUGAAGACCCGGAAUCCGCACUAAGGAGGAGCAAAGGCAAAACCGUUGGAGAAUCCGCUUCUUCAAAGAACUUGCCACUCAAAAACCUCAAAUCCGUUUUCAGCAAGAAGAGGAGCAGCAAAUCAGGAGCAUCCAGUGCCUCUUUGACAAUCGAAGACCCAAUUCAAGAAGACACUGAGUACGAGACCGAGGAAGAAGAAGAACCCACAUACGAGCACGAAUCCGAGUUUGAAGACGAUUUAGCUAUGGCUAAUAUCGAUGAACUCCCCAUGGGGUAAUGGAAGAAGAGGAUGCGCGAUGACACCGGCCCGGGACUUGUGCAACCUGCAAUUCCCACAACCGCUACAUUUGAACUAAAAGGCCAUAUUCUCGCUCAACUAAAGGAGAUUCCUUUUUAUGGGAAGGACCAUGAAGAUGCCUACAAGCACUUGGACGAAGUGAAUGAUGUGGCUGACUACUUCAACGUACCGAAUGUUCCAUGCGAGACCCAACUUCUUCGCAUGCUUCCAGUCACGUUCAAAGGUGCUGCAAAGGAUUGGCUAAAGUCACUUCCUCCCGGAUCGGUCACCACAUGGGCCAAAGAAAGCCAUUGCCAACUUCGAGCAACAACCUGGAGAAUCUCUGUAUGAAGCUUGGGAAAGAUACAAGAGCUUGCUUAGGAAUUGCCCACACCAUGACCUCAAUAGCCAACAAGAGGUCUCCAUCUUCUAUGAUGGAGUCAAUGUCACUACAAGGCAAUUUCUCGACUCACAAGGCCCGCUCACGAAGAAGGCGCCCCCGGUAAUCAAGGAGCUAAUUGAAGAAUUCUCUAAGCAUUCUAGAGAAUACCACAAUCCAAGAAAUGAAGCAAGUCGGCGGUAGUGAACUCGGAAAAUGAUAGCAUGGCGGCACUGAUAGCUAAGCUCGAUAGUCUAGAUAGAAGGAUGACAAAAAUGGAUCAAAAAAUCCAUGCUAUACGGGUUGGAUGUGAGAAUUGUAGAGGGCCCCAUCUCACAAAGGAUUGUGAUUUGGAUGAAAAUGGAAAUAAGAAGGCUCAAGUGUUCUAUUCAAGUGGCGAUCGAUACGACGAGAAUUGGCGGAAACCGAAGAAGGAAUGGCUCCCAUACGAAGAAUACAAGAAGGCUAAGGAGGAGAAAUACAAGCAGAAGGAGAGGGGAUUCUAUCAAAAGGAAGAAUCGGUUGCCUUAAGGACAUUUAUUGCUGAUCACUAGGGUGCACACUACUACCGAGGGGGUUCCUUAGCAAUAAAUGUCCUUAAGGCAACCAUGAGGGGGAUGGAGUACAUCGGUGAACACAUCAUUCACAAACACCUAAAGGUUGCGAGCCUGCUAGUGUUCCACUAGACUGUCUAGAAAAGUCUGUGGUCGUCAUCUAUACUCCGCUAGAUGACUGGAUCAACAUCAACAUCAAGGCCUCUCAUCAUUUUAUCAUACAUCGUCUAUUACAUCUAACCAUGUUUUACCCCAACAUUAUUGUAGAUAUAAAAUACAUAUACAGUUUAAAUCAUUUAAAACAUGUAUAAAAAUGUUCAUCCAACGUAGACAACAAGUAUUCAGAUAAUAUGCACACAUAGCACGUAAUUUAUAUAAAAUACUUCAUAUCUAUGUCCAAGAUGAAAUUAACUAUGCACUCACCUGUAAAGGUGGUGACUCUGCACUCAGACAACGCUUCGUUUACUUAAAACAAUUUCCUUUGACAAAACCUAGUAUCAUUACCACUAGAGUUUAGUCUAAUUUUCACCGAGACUAAUUAAUAGUCUUGCUAUUAUUACUAUUAUAUAAGCGUUAAAACAAUACUUUUCACCCACCAUGUACAGAAAAGGGCCAGAUAUGAAACACCGGGGGGUAGGACCAUUUUGGCAUAUAGCACUUCUGAAAUCCAACAACCCAAGCCGCCCUCCAAACCAGAUUCCCCGUACCGCGAGUAGUUAAAAAGAUAUUAUAACGACACUUAUAUAACUCAUAAUAAUAGCUCAGAUAUUUAUUCAAAAGUCCUAAUAACAUUAAUAUAUUUAAAUAAAAGCUAUAUUAAAAAUUAGGUAAGUGUAUUUCACUUACAGCGGGUUUUUCUCGAAAACCGGGCUUCGCCGAAGCGGAGUUUCUGAGCCGAAAAGCUCUUUUCUCGGAGCCUUCCGGAGCUCUGGGGCUUCCUUUGGGUGUUAGGGGGUACCCUAGGCUUUGAGGGGGGGGGGGGUUAGGUUAGUAUAGAGAGAUAGUAGAGAGAGAAAGAAUUGAUGGAAGGGAUGAGAAAAUCGGUUUCCCUCGCAGCCCUUUUAUACGCGGAGCCUCGCAGGUACGUUGGGCGUAAUCCUCGGGUACGUGGGGCGUACUUCGGUCCACUAGGCUUAGCCUUCAGAUGAUGCGCAUUCAUACAAGACAUGUGUCCGAAAUGUGGUGGUUCUAAGUGGCUCGCUUCGGAACCGCACAAGGCUCGUACGUGGGGAGUACCCUAUACCCUCGCACAACCUUCGCAUUUUACACACUCGGCUUCUAAAAUUCGUAACUUUCGCAUACAAGCUCUGUUUUCAUCGUUCUUUAAAUCCAUACGUAGGCGGGACCAUACUCUAUGACUUUCGUUCAGACUCUGUCGGCUAAUUUUGACUUUAUUUUUAAAGUUAUAUUUUUAAUAGGCCGGGACAGGAAUAGUCCAUUAAAUAUUCAUAAAUUCUUCAUCCGACGUCCGUUUUUGUCUGUCUUUUUACCGUUACGCUACUAUUAACGAGAUCUUUGAUUCUCGUUUAGGUUGUGUCGGCUAAAAAUCGCUCGAUCUAAUAUUCGAACUCCGGGCUGCACACUGCUAAGCCGAAACUUAGAAAAAUCAUAACUUCCUCAUAUGAAGUCAGAUUUAGGUGUUCUUUUUAUGGACGCUCGUUGUUUAACGUAUACUACGAAUUUUGUUUAGAUUGCUAAGGCUAAAAUCACUCUAUUGUAAAUUCACUAUUUACGCCACACAGUGUCGUGCCGGUUCUGUUGAGAAACUUCGACAAGCCAUAACUUCUUCGUUAUAACUCGAAUUUCGGCAUUCUUUAUAUGUUCAAGAAUCCUUGUCACGACCACUACAACUUUCUUCAUCGAUAUCGGGUUUAUCUAACACUUAAAUUUUGACGCUUUUUUUUAUCUUUUAUUUAUUAUGUCAUUAUAAACAAAUAUAAAGCACAUAAAUUCACAUAAUUCACAUAAUAUUCAAGUAAUUCAUCUUUAUUUCAUCAAAAUAGGUUACAAUGGUUGACCUGACUAUUACAUCACUUCACUAAUGCUUAGCCCGUAAACACGGGUGUUACAUUUACAUAAGUAUGUAACUUAAGUGAAAGAUAAAAGGAUCUAGUACAUAUUGAUGUGAACUCGUCAGAUCCACCACAAAGGACGAUAAAGUCUAUUCGUCAUGAUUUACUGAAAGCUCAGUAAAUAUGAUUAUGCUUACAAGAUUGAAGUAUAAUUUUGAUACAUUGAAAGGAUUCAAAGUAUAUCCGAACGAAUAAGAAGAAUCAAAUAAGGCAUAAAGAUAAAAGGUUCUCCACUCUAAAAGGAAAGGAGAGUACUUGAGUAUCUUGUUUUAUAAUCAUCAUAUUGAUUAUGGAAACAUGUCACAAUUGAUCCUCUAAGGAUACAUUAGUGCAUAAGUAUGACCAAGAAGAGGAAUCGGUAAUUGUUGAAAUAAUUAAAUCAAGAAGAUGAGUCAUACUUCGUUCCAUUAUCAAGUCUUAGAGUCAUACUCCAAGAUUGUACAUUGAGUGACAUAUCUUAAGUAGGUUUAUAAUGCCUCAUGAAAUGUGGAGUAGAAAUGUUUCUUACACAUUUGAAAUUGGUAGCUGUGAUGUUUUGGAUAAAACAAAGAUCAACUAAGACCAAUUACAAGAAGUGUUCUCUUGAUAGGAUCUCACACUAAAUCUUGAAUAUUUGUUUAUCAAGGAAUGUUUCUUGACAUGAGAAUCUUAUAUGUCAAGAAGGUAGUGGGAGUCUUAAUGGUCUUGAAUUGUUUCAAGAACUAAUCAAGAAUAAACCUUUUAGUUAUCACUAGCACACAACAUGAGGUUUAUAACCUAUCGUGAUUGACAUAUUCUUGUUUCUGUGCCCAUUCCAAUUUAAGUUGAUUAUGCAUGUGACUUCUAUGAGUUCUCAAUUGUUUGCAUAAGGCAAUGCACCUUGCUCAGUGAAAGUUCUUUGAUUGGUAUGGAUGAGCUGUUGAAUAACAUGGAAGCAAUGGUAGGACCCAUGUGCUACCAGAUGGCAAGAAAUUAAGAUUAAGCAAGUUCAGUCCAUAUAAGUUUGAAUUUGUCAUAAAACUUUUCUUAUGAUAGUGGUCCGAAAUGACAGAUUGACAUGGAUAUGAACAUAUACACCAUAAAAUCUAAGUGGCAAAAGGUUUCUCUCCAAUUCAUGUAAAUGAUUGUGAGGAAAUGCUUUCACUAAGUAGAUUUUAAAGGAUUAGAUUUAGCAGUUGUGAUAAUUGCAUUCUCAAAUUCGAUUAUGAUUACGGCAUCCCUCUUCCAACUUGGAAUUGUGAGAAAUGGCAAAUAGUUUGAACAUUCGGGACUUAUUAUUUUAAGUUCUAAAAGGUUCAAACACACGCUCGUGCUAUUUAAUAAGAAAGGUGUAUGAGCUUGAGAAGUUUGGAAAAGACUUUUCGAAGCACCAAGUAUCAGAAAUCUGAAAUUUGGUAAGAAAGUCAAUAAGUAUUGAUUUCUAGAAGUCCAGCUGAUUUAUGGGUACACGUCAAGGCUAGUGGGAGCAUAAGGGCUGUCCUAAAGUAAACAAAAUUGUUAUGCUAGAAAGAGUAUAAUUGUUAAGCUAGUGGGAACGUAACUGAUGAGUUUAAAACUCUUAGAUCGAUUAGAUCUUUCACAAGCACGAUUAUGGAAAUCAAACAAUUCAAAAACAAUAUGAGAAUGAACACAAAUCUGAAUCAAAUAUAUGUUGAUGAUUCAAAACAGAGUCACGCCUCAGCAGAGCUCGAUGAAGAACUUCCGUUGUAGAGGCGAGCUAGGGUUUACAGAAUUAUGAAACAAAUAAACAGUGAAAGCGAUAACUACUAAGUCGUCAUGCAUGCAACUUAUAUACUAAACCCUAGUACAAAAAUAUGCACGGUUGGACAGGCCCAAUACCGGCAAUCAAAUUGGGCUAAGGACCGAGCCCAUGACGCAAUCUAAUAGACCCAACAAUCUCCCCCUUAGCGUCAUAUGAGGCGAGAGAUUAUUUCCUCUUAGUGGGCUUCACCGUCUUUAUAACUUUAAACAAACGCGGAAUUAUGGCGAGAAGAGUUUGUCUAAAUUGUAUGUACCACCUCAGCAUGUCGGUAAAUAACUUCUUAUCAGCAGCAUUGUUCUGAUCGCACCUCUGAAUGAUCUCAAGGAUAUGCUCAAGACAAGACAUUGAGAAGAGGUGUUUGUCUACAAGAGCGAACAGACAUUCUUGACCUUCGCCCCUGAGGAACAUAACUGUGUGAUACUUUAAAUCGAUUUUCCCCUUGAUCAUGGUAUUGACAUUGCCAGCUCUGCCCAUAGGCUUGAUCGUUGUUCGCUUGUGUAUGGCAGGGGCAAUCCCUAGUCCAUNCCAUCUUCGCUACCUCAUGUAUGUAGCAAACAAGCAUACGCUUGACAUGAUUAAUUAUUGGCUGAUACUCCAGAGGAUUCAACAGAAGAAUGUUAUUGAGGAGUAUCCAGUCGUGAGGAUUAAGGUUUGGUAGAUCAGCGAGGGUAAAAUGGUAGACCGAGCCUUCGGUUCCUCGAGGCACCCAGAAUUUGACAUUAAUAAAUUUCCCUACUUAAUAGGGCUUCAUUACCUUGACGGUGGUUAUUUUCUUUGAGCUCCAAGUCAGGUAUUAGGGUUGAGCAAACUCCAAGUAAAACUCCAGAAGAUCCGUAUCUACCUUCGCAUCUGGGGAAGGAAUAGCAAUAGUCGAGUUAAAGUAGUGGAAGACAAAUGCCUUUCGUGUGAUUGGCAUAUCGAACUUUGCAUCCUUGGAAUUAUCAAGACCAAAGGACAUUAUUGGCUCAAGCCAGAGAAUGCUUGGCUCAUCAAUUGCACAUCUUUGAAGAGAGUCUAUUGUCCACACAGGAAACAUGGACUUUUUCUUUUCUAGGAGCUCCGUCUCCUUUCGCUUCAGCUCUAGGUUAGCUUGAUGUUUCUUGAUGUUUUCUUCCAAUUCUUUUUCAGAGGUCUUAACCUUCUGGAAGGGAUUCUUGGGAUUAUUCUCGACAUAGACAUCAUCUUCAUUGUCUGUGUCGUCAUCGCCAAUUUUCUUCUUCUUUUUGUCUUUGUUACUGACCGAAGCUUCAUUACCCUUCGGUUCAGUAGAUGGUUUUGAUCCAGAGGGAGGAGGUUGCGUUGUCACUUUCUCUCCCCCUUGUUUCGGUUGGUCCCCGGUCAUCGGAACAUCCUCGAUACGGCUAAUAAAGUCCAAUGCCGGUCUAAGCUUGUCCGCCAGAUGACGCCUGACAGUUAUAGUAAUGAUCGGAUCAUGAGCCUCAAUAAGAUGAAGAAGGAUAGAGUGAACAUCUGCAGCAGAACUCCUAAUGACCUCCUUUUAUGACCUGAGGUCAUCAAUCUCAGCAUUAGCAGUACGCAACUUGUGUGUUUGCAAUUUAAGCUGGGCAGUACGUCUGUCUAGCUCAUCCACAAUGAGAUUCUCCAUAGCUAAAUCCGCCUCCAGUUGAGUUAAGUGAUCGUCGACAUUAGCAUGGAGUGUUUCAUUGGCUUUUUCAAUGGCUUGGCGUUCCGCUUCAAGGUUCGAGCGCUCAGAUUGAAGAGACUUUUGAAGGUUCUCUACUAAAGCAUUGACUGUUUGAGCGUUUUUGGCAGUAGCAGCCUCCAAGGAUUCUAGAAAUAAAUGAGCUUCGGAGACUAGUUUAUCGAAUUUUGCGGUCGCUUCCUUGCACUCCUUAGUAGAGGCAUCAACAGCAAGAGAGGCUUGUUGACAUUAGGAAGUAGAGGCUUCGAUUCCCUUGGCUGCAGCAGAUAAAGUAGCACUGUGUUCGGUGACGACCGAGGAGAACAAGGCCUUCAAGGCAGCUUCAAAAUAGGCACUAGAGGAAGAGGAUGAAAGUAGUUGAUCAAGCUUUUCGUUUACUGCCUUGAGAUGACGUUAUGUAACAGGCUCAUCGUCAUCAUCAUCGCUCUGCACUCGAUAAGGACUGAAAUAUGUGGAAUCAAAUUCCAAAUCCUCACCACCUAGAAUAGGGGUUAUUUCAGUAGAUUGUGUGGGAGAUAAGGGUUUUGAAGAAGGUGGAGGUUCGGUUGUGACGGGAGGUUCGGUUGCAGGUGGAUUGGGAACAGUUGAGUGAGGUUUUGCGGUAGUGGUGGUAGUGGUGGUAUCUGUGAAAAUGGGAGUAGGAAUAGGAGUGGUAGUAAAUGGUUGAGAGGUGGUAAUUGGAGAGAUAGGAGGGAUGGAGACUGGGAUUGUUACAGGUGGAGGGGAAGGAGGAUUAGAGCGAAAUGGAAUUUCUGGGGUAGGGGAGCGAGGCGGAGUAGCACCUCGGCCCGAAGCCUCAUCGUCAGAACUUUCGCCCUCAGAUUCUGAAAGAGGAGCGUUCUUCUGCAUAGGGGGAACAUAUUCUGAAUCUGAAUCACUGGAGGAUUGAAGAAUAAGUCUCCUAGCAGGCUUCAACUGCUUCUUCGGUUGAGCCUGAGAAGUGGCAGCUUUAUCAGUUUUCCGCUUCUUGGGGGUUUGCCCCUUAGUUGGUUUAAUGAUCAGACCUUCCUUCUGUGUUUCAGGCUUCUUACCUCUCUUGGCUGGCUUGUCAGCCUCUUCAAUUGAACGAAUCAUGGCCGGAGUAAGUUCUCUUGGGCCAACAGAUGGACGCUUCCAGUACUGUUGAAGAACUUUACUCGACUCAGAAAUACGACUGAGCAUUGCUUCAGGAAUGGAUCCAAUAAACGGUGGGAUCCGUGAUGAUAAUUUUUGUCAUAUGAAAGGUAGCAGUGGAUGAGAGCAAGGAGUCCGCCAUUAUUGGAACACGAAGGCGGUCCAUUUCCCAAUUGGUGAUGAGAGACCAAAAACGCCCACAGGAUAUCUCAGAAUGCCUGGAUGAAGAGACCAAGCUUUGGACCAACUGCUGCCAGAUAAUGGACCCAUAAUCUAGGUCAAUACCAUUGUAUAACCUAUACAUUACCGUCAUGAAGGACUUGCUGGCACCAUCAGAGCCAGCGCUUCGCCCAGAAAGCCCCUUGAACAACAGCGUAAAAAGGCCAUUCCAUUGAGGAGGAAGGUAGGACUUCUUGAACUUCGUAAUGGUGGUUAGGAUUUCAGUAUACCCUAUUUGAUAGAACAUGGAAAACAAUUGACCAGUUGUAAUAGAGUUAGGGUUUACCAGAGAUGGAUCUUGAGAAAGACCAAUUAGGGCACAUAAUUGAUGCUUGGAGAUGUAGGUCUUCUCAUCGUGGAGUUCAAAGUGAAUGCGUUCAUUAAUCAUGUUAUAGAAGGCAAUAGAGUAGACAAGAAACAAGCACGACAUGGGAACAACUUCAACUUUAGUCAAUGCGUCGACGAGUGGUGAGUAUUUGAGACACUCAACCACAUACAGCAUAUAGGGCUCAUAAACAAAUGGGGUGAGAUCAAUGAUCAGGUUCUGUUGGGGUUUGAUGGUGAGAAGAGGUUGACGAACUGAAGUAUCAUGAACGGAUGAUGAGUCUACCAUUGUUGUAGCUUGGAGAAGAUGAUUAACAGUUGCAGAGAAUCACCGGUGUUCUUUGAGAGAUUAUGAAAAUGAUAAAAGUAGAGACAGUAGCGUUCCAUUUCCUUUUAUAUGUACAAGGAGAGAGAGAAAAAUCCGGCUGAAAUCUUGGAGUAUCUCAAAAAUAGCGCCUUACUUGAUGGGUGAACAGUUGGCAUGCCGAAAAUGACGCAGAAAAGAGAAAGGACGUUUCCUUUUUACACGCCAUUCCAUAAAAUGUACUUUUUCAAAUCGCAAAACUGUUUGGAUAGCCGCUGAGUCAGCUUCCACUUUAUCCCAAUAGUUUUUCCACACGACGUUUGAAUCUUUGUAGCCCUUAGCGUUUUAAUGAUCAUUCUGAACAGAACUAGAAUUUGGAAAAUUGAAAAUUUUCGUGCAUAGGGUGUAAAAGAUAAAGAAAUAAAAUAAAAUUUUAGGGAUAAUCUGUGAUGUCGUAAGCAGACAUAAAACAAUUGAUUAUGGGCAAAAAUCACUUCCUUCAAAGUCAAGAGAGACAUUAAAGUGCUUGUUUGGUUUCCCAUUGAAUAACGAUCAAUAACUUGUUGAGAAGUUUUGAAAGGCAUCUUUUGAAGGUUAAAGAGGGUGGCUUUUGCUUCAAAUCAUAAUUUCGAUACUUAACAUAAGACCGAAACUGAAUGAAGUACUUGUGAGAUCAUUGUGAUCUGUUGAACAAGUAGGUAUGAUAAAUUUUAUAGUGACGAGGGAAGGAAGAAAUGUCAAAAAAAAUAUUAAAUUGGAUCUUUUAGGGUUAGAGAAGCCUUGGUGAAAGGCAAGCUCAUAAAGAUCACUCAAGGAAAAAAAAGAUUUCAUAUGGUAACAAGUAAGAUCUUGAAUUUUUGAAUUCACCGUCAAUACAUUAGUGGUGUUGAACUUUGGGUUUCACUUAGUACAUGGUGACAUGAAACUAAGAUCAUGAACAUAGACUUGGUAUAACCAUAAACCUCAGUGGUUAAUACUAAAAGUCUCAGGGGUUAUAUUGUGGAAACGAAUUAUAGUGGACAAAAAUGAUGAAGAUGGUAUAAGAAGCAAAUGUACCUCUGCUCUAAAGAAAAGGACUAAGCAGAAUACUCUAAACUCAAUUUGAGUAGAGUAAGGUGGCUCACGAUUAGAGUGAAUUUGAUAGCCUGGAUUGGGAAAACACGAUUGGUAUAUAUCAUGUUAUUAAGGCUUCACUCAAAAUCUGUCGAGGCUUUAGUCAACAUACAGCAGCAUGCUUCUAGGGACUCCUAACUAAUAAAACCAUUUACCUGCCUUAGCUGUGCCAUCGAGAAUCAUACUUAAAAAAAUAAAGACAUUAAAAAAAAUUAAAAUAAAAUUAAAAAAUAAAAAAUAUUUUUGAAUUAUGUGAGAAUAGACCAAUUGAAGUAAGUAGAAAAGAAGUAAUGAAAAGGUGUACAUAAGAAAACAGUUGAAAUGCCUUAAAAGGAAAACGAACGAGUUCAGAAGGACCGGACCCGAAAUAGACCGAGCGUUCGGUUCAUUUCGGUUCAUGAUCGAACUUCUCCCGAAGUAGACCAAACGCGAAAUAGACCGAACGUUCGGUUCAUUUCGGUUCGCUCUAUUUUGCUAGUUACCUUUACGGAAGCGAAGGCGAUUUCAGUACAGAUUCGGCUUGCAUCAUUCCUAGGCCUUGAAGAAUCUUAUUGAAGCUUGCUUCGGGCAAGGCUUCGUGAAUAUGUUUGCCAAUUGAUCAAUCGUUCUGACGAAGUGAAUUUCUACAUUACCAUCUUCGAUGUGAUCCUUGAUGAAAUGGUACCUCAGUGCUAUAUGCUUAGUCUUCGAAUGUUGCACGGGGUUGUGACAAAUCCUAAUCGCACUUUUAGAGUCACAAUACAGCGGGAUUUUCUUCAUGUUUAGCCCAUAAUCCCUAAGUUGACUUUGUAUCCAUACAACUUGAGAUGUACAGGAUGUUGCAGCAAUAUAUUCAGCUUCUGCAGUAGAAAGCGAAACACAGGUUUGUUUCUUCGAUUGCCAACUGACUAAUUUACCAUCUAGAAUUGACAUCUUCCUGUGGUGCUUUUACGAUCUAAUCCACAGCCACCUAAAUCAGCAUCUGAAAAUGCUUGAACAAAGAAUCCUGAAUUGGCUGGAUACCACACACCGAGAGAGGAAGUUCGCUUCAGAUAGCGAAAGAUAUUCUUUACGGCUUGAAGAUGAGGUUCUCGUAGGUUGGCUUCAAAUCGUGCACAGUAGCAGACAGAGAACAUGAUAUCAGGUCUACUGGCUGUAAGAUACAUUAGAGACCUAAUCAUCUGUCGAUAAAGUGUUAUAUGAGCUGCUGGUUUCUCCAAUGAUGGUGUGAGUUUAGUUCCAAAAGCCAUAGGCACUUUCACUUUGGAGUCUCCCAUCACUCCAAACUUGGUUAGCAAAGUCUUGGUAUAUGUUUCCUGAUUAAUAAAAAUGCCUUCGGGUCCCUGUCUAAUGUUCAAUCCAAGAAAAAAGUUAAUUGGACCCAUUGAGCUCAUCUCAAAUUUAGUUUCCAUCAACUUUCUGAAUUCAGCUGUUAAGCUAGAAUUCGUGGAGCCAAAGAUGAUGUCAUCAACAAAAAUUUUGACUAUCAUAAGGUGGUUACCUUCUCGCUUACGAAAGAAGGUUGGGUCAACCGAACCUUGUUUGAAUUUAGAAAUUUUUAAGAAACAAGUGAGAGUUUCAUACCAUGCUCUAGGAGCCUGUUUGAGGCCAUAUACAACUUUGUCAAGAAUAUAACAAUGAUCUGGAUACUUCUCAUUCACGAAGCCUAGCGGUUGCUCAACAUAUACGGUUUCUUCAAGUUCACCGUUGAGGAAAGCACAUUUGACGUCCAUUUGAAAGACUUCAAAGUUAUUGUGAGCAGCGUACACAAGAAAGAUACGAACAGAUUCUAAUCUUGCCACGGGAGCGAAGGUUUCUUCAUAAUCGAUUCCCUCUUCCUGACAAUAUCCUUUGACGACCAGCCUCGCUUUGUUACAAAUGACAAUUCCCUUCUUUGUCCAUCUUGUUUUUGAAUACCCAUUUAAGACCUACAACUGAAGCAUCCUUUGGAGUUGGAAUAAGACGCCAUACCUUGUUUCGUUCAAACUCGUUUAACUCAUCCUGCAUAGCUUGAACCUAGUCUGAAUGAUCAAGAGCUGAGUUAACAGUCUUUGGUUCAACUUUGGAAACGAAUGAAUUGAACAUGCAAAACUCGACUUUUGAAAAGAGUACAACCUGUUUCGCUUUGAUUUGAGAGCGAGUUAACACUUUUUCUGAGGAUUCCCCAAUAAUUUGACUUUGAGGGUGAUCUUUGAUCCAUUUGAUAAGUGAAGGAAACUUUGGAUCAUAGAUAGGAUCCAAUUUAGCGUUGAUUUCUUCCUCUAGUUCAGACAGAAUGUCACCAUCACCAAUAUUGGUGUUCUCCCCCUCGACAAAUGAUUCCAGUUCAGGACCAGCAUUUGUAUCCCCUUCAUUGGCUGGAAUUUCAGUAGAGCUUGAUGUAUUUGGCGAUGAAUUCUCCCCCUGGAAUGAAGAUCCUUGAUCGUGAUGAGGAGAGGAACCCUCCCCUGGACUUUAGGACGGUCACAAGAAGGUUCGCUUGUGUCUGCGCCUUCGAUUUCUUUGGAUUGAUCUUCAGCCAUAUCCUUAGCAGCAUCGUCUAUAACUUGUUUCAGAUUAUCAACUUUGUUGUCUUUUGCAGUUGAUUCAGAGUCAAUCACCUUUUGAGGCUCAUCAAAUAGGAGCAUGAAUUGGUCGAAAAGAUUCGAGAUAGAGAUAGUGACCUGACAUUCUUUGGAAAUAUGUCGUGUGAUACAGCUUCUGUUGAUUUCAUUUUGUUAACAUAACUAUCGUCAAAGGUGACAUAGUAUGUUUCUUCAAUUUUCUUUGAGCGUUUAUUGAGAACACUAUACGCCUUGGAGUUCAGGGACUAGCCUAAAAAAAUUCCUUCAUCCGCCUUAACAUCGAACUUGUUUCGAUUCUCUUUGGAGUUGAAAAUGAAACAUCUUGAACCGAACACAUGAAAGAAUUUCACAUUUGGUUUUCGAUUGUUCAGGAUCUCGUAAGGAGUAAGUGAGAACCGCUUAUUCAAGUAUGAUCUAUUUUGAGUGUAACAUGCAGCCGCAAUUGCAUCAACCCAGAAAUACAAAGGUAAGGACGCGAAGCAUAACAUAGUUCGAGCAGCUUCACAGAAGGACUAGUUUCUCCUCUCAACAAUGCAAUUUUGUUGUGGAGUAUAAGGGGCUGAGAAAUUGUGAGUUGUCCCCUUUUCAGCAAGAAAACCUUCAAAAUCUUUGUUCUUGAAUUCCAAGCCAUUGUAGCUCCUUAUAUUACGAACUACUUUUCUUAGUUGCGUUUCUAUCUAUUUAAUAAAGAGCUUGAGCUUUGGAGUGGCUUCAGACUUUUGCUUGAGAAAGAAAAUCCAUGUAAAUCUUGAUAAAUCAUUUGUUUCCUCUAAUGCUUUCGAUGGACAAUGGACCACAUAGAUCAAUAUGCAAUAACUCCAAUGGUUCUAUCACCUAAGUGUUGAUAAUAGAAGGAUGACUCUGCUGACUCUGCUUUCCCAUUUCACACGCUGCACAUGUAUGUUCUUUAUCAAAUUUUAGAAUUGGAAGACCUCGAACGUGAUCACCCAAAACCAGCUUGUUGAUAUCCUUGAAGUUCAGAUGAGAUAGUCUUCUAUGCCAUAACCAACUUUCAUUAGAGUGAGCCUUUGUUAGUAAGCAUACAGCUGGUUUACCUCUUAUCGGGUUGAGGUUCAAAGGAUACAUUUCCUCCUUUCACUAUGAUUUCAACAGAAUGUUGUUUGUUCUUUUCUCGACAAUGUCUGAGCCUUCAUCGUCGAAUGAUACUUUUAAUCCAGUACCAACUACCAGUUGUGAUAUGCUGAUGAGAUUGUGUUGGAGUUCUUCAACAUAAGCUACCUUCCUUAUAGAGAACUCGCCAUUAGUGAUCAUUCCAUAGCCUUUGAUAGUUCCAAAAGAAUUGUUGUCGUACUUUACAAUGCCACCAUCUUUGAGAGAACGAAACUCUCUCAAUUCCUCCUUCCUUCCUGUCAUGUGACGCGAGCAACCACUAUCGAUGUACCAUUCUUCGUCAAACUGCUCGUCACUUAUAACCUGCAAAAUAUUAAGCAGAUUUAGGAACCCAAAGUUUCUUGGGUCCUUGUGAGCCUUUUACAGGAUAGGGAAUAUUAAGAGAAAUAUCAACCAUGUGUGUACGUUUAUUUAAAGUUGUUUCAUCUUUCCUUUUAAUGGUGAAAACUUUAAUUUUUGUUGAUUUAGUAGAACUGGAGUUUUUGAUGUUAACAUUGGUGCUCUUUUGAUUCGCUUUUGGAAUAUUUUUAUCUUCAUGGUAGAGUUUUUCUUUUCCCUUAGAAGUGAUUGGGGAACUGGAAUUUGAAUGAGAAGAGUUGAAUUUAGAAGUGACUUUAGAAUCCCGGUUUUUCUGAUUAGACUUGUAUGGAUGGGGACCAAAACCACUAUUUCGGUUGCCAUGGGAUGAAGGACCGAAACUCUCCUUUCGGUUGUUAUUAGACGAGGGACCGAAACCAUUCUUUCGGUUGUUAAUGAGUGAAGGACCGAAACUCUCCUUUCGGUUGUUAUUGGUUGAGGGACCGAAACCGUUCUUGCGGUUGUGAAUGGGUGAAGGACCGAAACUCUCCUUUCGGUUGUUUUUAGUCGAUGGACCGAAACCACCCUUUCAGUUCCUAUUAGAUGAAGGACCGAAACCAUCUUUUUGGUUGGUAUUGUGGUGAGGACCAAAACUGCUCUUUUGAUUCAUCCUGAAGAGGGACCGAAACUUCUCUUUCGAUUCCUUGAGUCUUCUUGUGAUUUGUGCUUCCUUUCUAUCCUUACAAAAUUAGGAUUUUGAGAAUUCCAAAACUGUUUUCUCUCUGAGAGAUUCUUCUUAUAUCUCAGAUUUCUUUGAUGCUUUCGAUCAGCCACCUAUUUUGGAUUUUUGUGAAUGUUGGCCUUUCGUUUCGAAGUAUGGGCACAACAUUCACUUUUUGCCGAAGAAGUAUCACUAGUGGUUUGCAUUGGUUCGUCCAAAGGGGUUUUAGUUCCACUUGUGCUCGGGACAUCAUACUUUGUAGGCUCAUUUAGUGGUUCAGGUAUGUAUCUACCUUUUACUCUCCAUGAUGUUUUCUGAGAAAGACCCUUCAUCUCAUUUGCGUUGUCUAUUGGGGCCGACCAGAAGAAUUCGUCACAUCCUCCAGCGUUGUCUUCUUCUACCAUAGUUUUUAACUCUAUAGUUUGUUGUGGAGUGACUCCUGGCACUGUGUAGACUUGGUUUGGGGUAGUUUGAACCUUUUGGUAUACAACAGCUUUAGCUUUGAGAACUUUGGUUUUGUCGGUAGACGAACAAGCAAACUCAACGGAGUUUUCAGAAAUUAGGUUAUUGUGUGACUUAGGUUCGUUUUUGGCUAAUUCAGAACAGUCCACCAGAUCCUCUAUAGAGAUUUCACUCAUAUCAUCAUCCUCAUUAAGUUCAGAUGUAUUUUCAACAUCAAUUUUAUUUUCUGAACUUAAAUUGGCAUUCAAAGAGUCAAAUUUUUGUAUAGUUUCGGCUCUCAAGUUCAAUCUAUCAUUUUCGUCUAACAAAUUUUUGAGCAUGUCCUUGUGGUCCUUGGACUUUAUGUAGGAUUCAAUUUUGUCCAGACCUAUUUUAUAUGCUGGAGACACUUCAUCAUAAGAUACAACACUUUCACAGUUGUAUGCUUCAGCAUUGAUUUCAUCCUCCUUAAAUUCAAGGAAGGGUAAAAUCAUACUGUGUAUCUUCUUCCCUAUUUCACAAUCAAGAUGCAACUGAGUGAUGUUAAAAUAGAGUCUUUUAGCAAUUAAACAAAACACAUUUCACUGUUUAAGAAGUUUAAGAUUGUCUCUUUGCAAAUAAAUAGAAUCAUCUUUAGAUCUAAUUAACUCCUUUUCCUUUUGCUCGAUCCACAUCCUUCGUUCCUCACUCUUUGAAGAAAUCCUGCUGAUUUGAUCAGUUAGGUUAGAAUUUGUGACACGGGUUUGGGUGAGACUGAUACUUAUGCUUGAGAAUUUUGAUUUUAAGUUAUUUAAUUCCUUUUCAUAAUUAUAACAGGUAUUUUUAGAGAAGCAAGAAUGUUUUGUACCUUUUUGAUCAACUCAUCACAUUCGUUGAUCUGAGCACUGACAGGCUUGGCAGCAAAACACCUGUCCUGUCGCUCCCUCUCCUCUUCAACUCCCCCAUUAGUUGUGUAUCUUCUCAUUUGGGACACACCCUCGGUCACUACAAAGCAUCUUCCCGUAGCUUGUUCUUCUUUUUCCAGCAUAGCAUUUCCAUGAGUAGGCUUCCUGACUUCAUUAUCCUCCGAAUCUGUGGAUCAGACCUCCACACCACCAAAUUCAUUUCUGUUGUUUGUAUCCUGCACAAUUAAAGCAUUCAUGGUAGAGUUAUUAGCAGCAAACUUUCUUUUAUUUAUUUCCUCCAAUCUUCUCAGGAGGCUCGCUUCCUCAUCUUCUUCGUUUGUCUUUUCUUUUUUCUUUCUCAACAUACAGUCUUUAGCAAAAUGAUUUUUGCCUCCACAGUAAUGGCAGUCGAAUCCUGAGUAUCCUCCAACUUUUUCUUCCUUCUUUGACUCUUCAAACUUUGACCCCAUCUUCGGUUCCUCCUUGAUCCUUUCGGUGCUGUAACUACCCUGCCAAUUUCGGUUCUUAUUGGCUGGGAAUUUCUUCUUAAUUAAUUUUCUGGGAUUGGACACCAUCAUGGCGUAUUCUUCACUCGUUAGAUCAUAAUUUGCAAGAUCUAAUUCUUCUUCUUCUUCAACCAAACUUUUUCCUUUGGAGACAAGAGCUAAAGAACCCAUACUAGAAACCACAUUCGUUUCCUUAGAUAAAGCAUUCUCAUGGGAUUUUAAAAUACCCACUAGUUUUGCCAGAGAAUAAGAUUUGAACUGUUCAUGAGCUUUGACUGUUGACACAACAGCCAUCCAUUCAGGUCUGAGACCAUUCAUGAAAGUAACCUUUUGUUCGAUGACUUUCCUUUCAAUCCCAUGCUUUAUCAUCUUACUUAAAAGAUGAUUGAAGCGGUUAAAAGUUUGAACAAGUUUUUCUUCAGGCUUCUGCUUAAAUUCACCAAAUUUAGACAACAAGAGAGUUUGGAUAGAGUGUUCCAAAUCUUCGUCUGUGGAAUAUAAUUCUUUCAAUCUAUCCCAAAUCUCUUUGGCUGUAGCACAGGAACUCACUAAGCGAAAUGUGUCCAACUGCAGCGCAAACCUUAUCAUCCUUAGGGCCUUGAUAUUGCAUUGAAACUUCUCCUUUUCAUCCUGAGGAAUAUCUUUGACAUCAUUGACAAGAUGAUUGUAUUCUUUCUAUGUUUUAACAAUCUUAGAUGUGCUUGAGUGAGCGAAUGGGCCUGCAGUAAUAGCUUCCCAGAUUAAAUUACUAUUAUCCUCCGGUCCAAUCACGUAGUCUUCAAAGUGAUGCGUCCAAAAUUCAGAGUCUUGUGUAUACAAGAUCGGUAUUCUUGUUGUAGACCUUAUGCUGUUGGAGAUAUUGAUCGGAUUGGUCUGUGAAUCAUCCAUGGACAAUGUAAAUACUUUUGAUCGAUAACCUGUAAAAGAUCAAACUUGUAAUAUAUCGUUAGGGUUAGAUCAAUAAAAGUGACAGCUCAAUAAAUGUCAAUCAACGGGAAUUAAAACCCUAAGAACUUUUUCGACAGCAGAGAUGUGUAUGAAUUACACAGUUUCCCGCUCUGAUACGAAUUGAUGAGUUUAAAACUCUUAGAUCGAUUAGAUCUUUCACAAGCACGAUUAUGGAAAUCAAACAAUUCAAAAACAAUAUGAGAAUGAAAACAUAUAUGAAUCAAAUAUAUGCUGAUGAUUCAAAACAGAGUCACGCCUCAGCAGAGCUCGAUGAAGAACUUUCGAUGUAGAGGCAAGCUAGGGUUUACAGAAUUAUGAAGCAAAUAAACAGUGAAAGCGAUAACUACUAAGUCUGCAUGCAUGCAGAUUAUAUACUAAACCCUAGUACAAAAAUAUGCAUAGUUGGACAGGCCCAAUACCGACAAUCAAACUGGGCUAAGGACCGAGCCCAUGACGCAAUCUAAUAGACCCAACAGUAACUAUUAUACUAAGUAUUGCAAGGUUGUAAUACUCUUUAUAGGAAACAAAGGUUACAAGUUUGCAAAGUUGUAAGUUUGGAUAUUGUUUCUUUAUGGAAAGUUAUAGGGAGAGGAUACUCAUUCUUCAUUUCAAAUCUAAAAACAUAGAUUGAAAUUUUAGUUGAACUUAGUCAUAAACAUAUAUGAAUGUUAUGUUGAAAUGAUUCAACAUAUUGAAGUUCUAUAUAUGGAAAUAUUAUAGCAAGAGAAUGAUAAAGUGUCAUGUCUUUAUGUAAGACAUUAUGUAUCAAAUCCCAUAUGCUUGGUAUAUAGGACUGAUUACAUAUGCUAUUGAUGGGUUUUGAGCAUUCUAACACUUCCUAAGUCUACAUGCAACCCUAAUAACCUUGGAUCUAUGUUUGUCUAAUUAUCAUGCAAAGUUGAAUUCCAAGGUUAUAUUCCUAUCUAGCAUACAUGGGGAACAAUUUUUAACUGGAAUGAAAGAUAGAAUAACAUACCUUGUUGUUGCUUAUGAUCCUUGAAACCUUGUGAGCCUAGCACCCCAAGUGUGAUGCCUCAAAUGCUUCACACAACACCAAAUGUAAAGGAGUGAACUUUUUGAGAGAAUACACACUUGAAAAAUCGGCCUAGCCCUCACUUGUUCUUGUGUAACCGAUUUUGGUGGAGAAUGGGUUCCUUAUAUAGUGUUGACAGAUCUAGGGUUACACCAUGUAAACCCUAAUGUGUCAUGACUCUUCAUUUCCAUGACCCAUGGGUUUGUAACUCCCAUGGAGCAUCCAUGGAGCAUCCUAUGGGUAGAACCCAACUUGAUAAUCCAUGGAGCCUCUUAGCCCACUAUACAAGAUAUGGAUGAUUUACAUAAUCAACCCAUAUAUUUAAUUAGUUAUCCUUUGAUCACUUAAUUAAUUCCAAAUUAAUUCUUUGAUCAACUAAUCAAAUAAUAUUAUUAAUAUAUUAGAACUUAUAAUAUAUUAAUAAACCACAAGUGUUAUUUCUCUCAUUUAGUCUAUCCAAUUGCAUGGUGCCAUGCAACCCAAAUGGACCAUGCCGGGUCGGGUCAAGUACAAACCAGAAAUAGUUAUGGACUUAGACACUAUAUCCAACAGUCUCCCACUUGGAUAAGUUUAAUAACUAUAACUGCAAUACUUCAGGAACCGAUCGGAAAUCGUGGUUCUUUCAAGGUCUCUCGAAACUGAGAAGAUGUUGAUACACCAAUUAAGAUAAGUGAUCAUACAAUCCUCUGUUCUAGAUAUCAGCCGGACAAAUACAUGGAACAAUGUCUUACUUAUUGUCCAACAGUUUGUUUCCCGAUUUCCGAUUUGUUUGACAAAGAACUUAAUUGAACACAUCAACUUAGUUCUGACCGGGCCCGGUACAUAGGUCAAAACAAAAUCAUCGAGGGGCCCAGAUAUCAGCUUCUAAUCCAAGAAGGAACAGAUAAACUUCGACUCAUAUGUUUGUUCUACCACUCAUUGAAUUAUACACAAAAGCACGUUUUAUAACAUCGAGUUACCAAUGCGUUUUCGUACAAUCAAUGCAUAACCAACUUGUAAGUAACAAAUCAUAUCUCUAGGUUUGAAGACUUAUAUGAUAUUACCGUCUCACGAUCACUCGAGUAAAAUUCCAUGAAGUGAUUCCAGUGAGCGUGGGUUGAGUCCAAUGCUCAGAACUUAUGAGCACUCAUGAGUGUUGUAGCCAUGUCCAACACCUUAGACCUCUGCAACCAAUCAUGACAGUCUUGAUUCAUACCUACUUCCGACAUAUGACCGACUGUGGAGGUUCGAAUAAUAUGAUAUACCAAACAUAAUUAUUCUGGAAGUCAAAACAUGCAAAAGAAAUAUACUAAACGAUCGACAAGAGAUAGCAACACUUUACUCAUAAAUAAAACACCUUUUAUUCAUCAUCUAAUGUCAUGUCAAUUACAUUUUACAAUUUCAAGGUUAUUUAACUACUAAAUCUAAUAUCAUCCUUCAACCCUAUGCUCCGAGCAUGCUGGAGAUGCUUAACCCGAGUCAGUCCCUUCGUGAGGGGAUCUGCUGGAUUCUCAUCCGAUGAUACCCUCUUUUCCACGAGGAGUCCUUCUUCUAUACGAUGUCUAAUGAAAUGGUAUUUUCUGUCGAUGUGUCUGGAUCUCCCGUGAUCCCUUGGUUCCUUGGCUAAGGCAACAGCACUUUCACUAUCACAGAAAAUUUCCAUUGGCUCCUUAAUAGCUAGUACAACUCCAAGGUCUCCAAUGAAGUUCUUCAGCCAUAUCGCCUCCUUUGCUGCCUUGCUCGCUACUAUAUCUCUGAUUCACAAGUGGAAUCAGCCACAGUCUCUUGCUUGGAACUCUUCCAAGAAAUUGAUCCUCCGUUUAAGGUAAAGACCCAGCCUGACUAAGAGCAGAAAUUAUCCCUAUCAGUCUGGAAGCUAGCAUCACUAUACCCUACAACUCUCAAGUCAUCACUCCCACCGAGGAUAAGAACCCAAUCCUUAGUCCUCCAUAGGUACUUGAGGAUAUUCUUUACCGCAGUCCAGUGUGCCUUGCCAGGGUUCCCCUGAUACCUGCUAACCAUGCUCAAAGCAAAGGCUACAUCAGGUCGAGUACACGUCAUAGCAUACAUGAUCGAUCCUACAGCCGAAGCAUAAGGUAUUCGACUCAUUUCUUCUAUCUCAGCCUCAGUACUAGGGUUUGUGUCUUACUCAAUCUGGUGUUACUCUAGAUAGGUAACUCUCCUUUCUUGGAGUCCUACAUGCUGAAUCUCUUCAGCAACUUAUCCAAGUAGGUACUCUGACUAUGUCCAAUUAAUCUUUUCCUCCAGUCUCUCAAGAUCCUAAUCCCUAGAAUACAGGCAGCUUCUCCUAGCUCCUUCAUAGAGAAACACUUCCCAAGCCAGGACUUAACUUCCUGCAGAGUUGGGAUGUCAUUUCCUAUGAGUAGUAUGUCAUCCACAUACAAUACCAAAAAGCUAACUAUACUCCGACUAUCCUUGACAUAUACUGUCACACCCCAAAACCGAGAACGGCGGAAACGUUCUAGGGCGGAGGACGUCAUGUAAUGUAUCACAACAAUGUAAAGUAGUAUACAAGCAACCACAUCAUCCAUUUCAUUAAUAGUAUAAUUUUAAUUACAAGUGUGUUCUUUCAUAAUAUAAGACAACAUAAUAAAUCAUCCAAAUAAAAGACGAGUCUGAACUGCUCUGUCUUCACAAAACUUGAUCGGCGUACCUAUCUAUUUGUGACCUGAGAAUACAAGUUAUUUUGAAAGCGAGUAUCAGCGAAAAAGCUGGUGAAUUCAUAAGUAUUAAUGUGUCUUUGAUUUGUAAAACUUGUAAUGAAAGUCUUGACAUUGUUUUUGAAAGAAAGUUCAUAUAAGUAUGUGAAGAUUUGUAAGUAAUGGAAAGCGUUUGAAUAACCCUAGAAAUCCUUAUGAUCCCUAUAAAAGAAGUCUUCUACCAAGACCCUACUGUUUUGAAAGUAGUCUUCUACCAAGACCCUACUGUUUUGAAAGUAAGCAUCUCUAUAAAUGUGAUAGUUUUUCCAUGUUUAACUAUUAGUAUAAAACUAUAGUAUACCUCAUCGUUUAUGUGUAUGAGUCACAAUAUAAAGGUAAUAAGGAAAAAUAGUUAUCUAUAUCAAAUAUAUCCUACCUCGUCGAUCAUGUGAAUGUGUCACAAAGUAAAGGAAGAAAUAAUAUAACGACCUAAGUAUUAUCCUUUUGUACUAGGAUAACUAACAGUGUUAACCUAAGACAUUCGUAGAUGUACAUUUACCUCUGUUGCUAACAGCUGGGUGUAGGAAUAGUUAGUCCCUUAAAGUAUACAUGUAAUGGUAUCAACCGAAGACAUCCGUAGAUGUUCAUUUACCUCUGUAGCUAACAGUGGUGAUAGGAAUGGUUAAUCCCACAAAGUAUCCUUUGGUACUAGGAUAUAAAGUCCAAUCUAUCUCGUCGAUGAUGUGAUUGUAUCACAAGGUAAAGAUAAGAAGGAGAACUAUAUAACAAUAUCUACACAUAUAACAUGUAAUAGUAACUCAUCAUAUAUUAUCUACGUAAACGUGCUCAUCUAAUCGUAUCUAUGUAAACGUAUUCAUGUAAACGUAUCUAUGUAANACUGUAGACAUCCGUAGAUGUGCAUUUACCUCUGUUGCUAACAGCCGGGUUUAGGAAUAGUUAGUCCUUAAAGUAUACCUGUAAUGGUAUCAACCGAAAACAUCCGUAGAUGUUCAUUUACCUCUGUAGCUAACAGUGGUGAUAGGAAUGGUUAGUCCCACAAAGUAUCCUUUGGUACUAGGAUAUAAAGUCCAAUCUAUCUCGUCGAUGAUGUGAUUGUAUCACAAGGUAAAGAUAAGAAGGAGAACUAUAUAACAAUAUCUACACAUAUAACAUGUAAUAGUAACUCAUCAUAUAUUAUCUACGUAAACGUGCUCAUCUAAUCGUAUCUAUGUAAACGUAUUCAUGUAAACGUAUCUAUGUAAACGUAUUCAUGUAAGCGUAUCUACGUAAACGUAUUCAUAUAUAUCUAUGUAAACGUAUUCAUGUAACAUGUAAUGUACUAGUAUAGACUCAUGAAUGAACUGACUCUUGUGUGAUUCCCUGUACAUGGAAUGGUAAGUGGUAUCUCCUAACUAUACCUAUAAUAGUUACUAACCAUGUACGUGUAUAACCUGAAGUAUGCCUUUGCUACCCAAAGGUACUGAACUGACUAAGGAAACUUUUAUGUCUCUAUAUGUAUACAUGAUAUAUAACUGAUAGUUAAACGACCUUCGGACGGAUACCCGAUACCCUACCAGACCACAUCCCAACAGGGAAAAGGAAAUAAGGCAGGUUAGCCUUCCUAAGUCCUUUAAACAUUAUUUAUAUAACUAUACAUAUACAGGCAUGAAAUUGACAAUAUAAAAAAAUAUAAGGAGUUUUUAUAAAACCUUUGAAAAAGAUUAAUACCUAAGAAAAGAUCGACUUGAUGUCAGUUUAUAAAAUGGUUUGGAAGUAUUUGUUUGACAAAAGCAGUUUAAGUAUAAAGGAACCUUUGUUUGAAACACAAUGUAGCAGGGUUUAAAAUGAACAUACAGUGUUUAAUAAACAGUUUAAUAAAGUGUUCUAAACACUUAAAAACGUUUAAGAAAGUCAUUUGAAGAAAUCUGUUUGGUAAAAUAGUUAACGUAUAGUAAAUCCAUUUGCAUGCUAGUUAUUAAUCACAUGUGAUUGAUAUAAUAACUAAACACAAUUCAACUUGUAUUCCCCCCAUAAAGCAUUUAUAAACAUUUAAAAACAUUUAAAAGGUUAAUUAAGUGGUAUGAACUCACUUGAUAGAUUGAAGAAGGUGAGACGAAAGUCGAGCAGAACUUCGACUGGAAAGAAGUCGAUUUCGUGGAAAUCUUGAUACUUCAGGACUUGCGUCGUGUGUUGGAGGUGUUACCGGGGCUUCGAGGUAGUUUAGAGGGGCUUAAUAGGGUGUAGAAGUAGGAGAAAUGAUAGAAAUGAACAACCAAAGCCGGCUGCCCUCGAUUCCUAUUUAUAGGGUGAAUUUUGGGUCUCACGUCGUGAGUUUUUCAUAAUUCACGUCGUGAGUUUCAUCCCAAAUCAUCAUGGCACGCGUCACACGUCAAGUGGCUCUGGAAGGGUCAUUCAAGGGGCUCACGUCGUGAGUUCUGACACAGAGUCGGGAUUCGUGCCCGAACUUCAGAAAUUCAUAACUUUCGCAUCCGACCUCCGUUUUCGAAGUUCUUUAUAUGCACGCGUAGGUGAGAUUAUGCUCUACAACUCUUGUUUAGACUCUGUUCCCUAAUUUUGACUUUAUUUUUAGUAUAUUAUUGAUAUAUUAUCUUUAUAUUAUUUUUAGUAGGCCGGGACACUAAAACCCCGUCAUAAAUCCAUAACUUCUUCAUCCGACGUCCGUUUUCGUCAGACUUUUUACCGUUGCGCUACUAUUGUUGAGACCUUUGAUUCUCAUUUAGUUUGUGUCGGCAAAAAGUCUCUCGAUCUCUAUUUCGAGUUUUUAGCUGUCUACUGCUAUAUCCGUAACUUAGAAAAAUCAUAACUUCCUCAUACGAAGUCAGAUUUGGACGUUCUUUUUAUGUACAUUUACGGUUUAAUGUUAUCUACAACUUCCAUUUACAUACUUAAGGCUAAAAAACUAUUGUACUGAAACUUCGCGUUUUUCGUUUAAUCGGUGUUGCCGGUUUUGCUGAGAAUCUUCGGUUGGUCAUAACUUCUUCGUUAUAACUCGGAUUUUAGGGUUCUUUAUACGUACGAAAACCUUGAUACGAUUCCUACUACUUUAUUUAACCCAAAUAAGAUUUUAGGAAAGUUAUAUUUUGACCUAAAUUUUACUGGUGUUACAUUUUAUUGUCUCAAAAUAUUGGGUCGUCACAUAUACACAAGAUUCAUAUUCACUCCUAGAAAAGCCAAAUUCUUUGACUUUCUCAUCAAAGCAAAGACUCCAUCUGCGAGGUGCUUGCUUUAACCCAUAAAUGGAUUUCUCACGCUUACACACUCUAUUAGGGUACUAUGUAUUGACAAAACCCUUUGGCUGACUCAUGUAAACAUCCUCAUCCAACUUUCCAUUAAGGAAAGCGGUUUUGACAUCCAUUUGCCACAUUUCAUAGUCAUGAAAUGCAGCUAUGGCUAACAGAACCCUAAUAGACUUAAACUUGGCCACUGGAGAAGAAGGUCUAAUCAUAAUCUACUCCCGGAGUUUGUAAGAAACCCUUUGCAACCAGUCGUGCCAUAUAAGUGUGUACAUUACCAUCCAUGUCGGUCUUCUUCUUGACGAUCCAUUUGCACCCUACAGUCUUACGACCUAGUACAUUCCUAAACAAGUUCCAAACUUGAUUUUCAUCCAUGGACUGUAUCUCGCUGUCCAUUGCCUCUUUCCACUUGGCUUACUCAAGGCCUGCCAUGGCUUCCGCGUAACUGUUAGGUUCAUCCAGACCUAUCAGUGUCUCAUCACUGAUAAGUGUAUCACCUUCCGCAGUAAUAUGGAAUCCAUAGUAAUGCUCAGGUGCAUUCCUAACCCUUGUGGAACGCCUCAGAGGUACAGACUUGUCAAUUGGCUCAACAGGAGUUUCCUCCUCAAGUUGAGUGCUAGGGUUUGAAGUUCCUUCACCGCUUGACUCUUCAAUUUCUUCCAGGUCAACUUGCCUCCCACUGUUUCCUCGUCUUAUGAACUCUCUCUCUCUCUCUCUCUCUCUCUCUCUCUCUCUCUCGAUAGAACCCCCUCCUAGCUACAAAGACCAUAUUUUCACUAGGUCUGUAGAAGAGGUAACCAAAGGAUUGAUGUGGGUAGCUGAUGAAAAUACACCUCUCGCUUCGAGGUUCGAGCUUAUCAUGAGUCUCGCGUCUCACGAAAGCCUCGCAACCCUAAAUCUUGAUGUGGUCUAGUUUGGGUACUUUACCAGUCCACAUCUCAUGAGGAGUUUUGGCAACUUUCUUUGUAGGGACUAGAUUAAGGAUAUGGGCGGCAGUCUCUAAGGCAUACCCCCAGAAUGAGAUUGGUAGCGAAGCUCGACUCAUCAUGGAACGAACCAUAUCUAACAAGGUUCGAUUACGCCUCUCAGCCACACCAUUCAACUGUGGUGUCCUGGGAGGUGUCAAUUGUGAGACUAUCCCACAUUCCCUUAGAUAGUCGAGGAACUCUGAACUAAGAUACUCACCACCACGAUCGGAUCGAAGCAUCUUAAUGUUCCUGCCCAAUUGAUUCUCGACUUCCUGUUUAAAUUCCUUAAACCUCUCGAAAGUCUCUGACUUAUGCUUGAUCAAGUAGACAUAUCCAUAUCUACUAUAAUCAUCAGUAAAAGUCAAAUAAUAACGAUUAGCAUCCCUUGUGGCAUGUUUGAAUGGUCCACACACAUCCGUGUGUAUAAGGUCCAACAAACCUUCACCCCUCUCACACGAACCUGUGAAGGGUGACUUUGUCAUUUUUCCAAGUAAGCAUGAUUCGCAACUAUCAUCUGACUUUAGGUCAAACGACUCCAAGACUCCAUCCUUUUGGAGUUGGCCUAUGCGUUUCUUGCUUAUAUGUCCAAGACGACAAUGCCAUAAAGAUGCUUUAUCCAAGUUAUUAUUAGUAGAAUCAAUACACAAAACAUUAUUUCCCAAGUUAUCUACAACAGAUACAGCUUCAUACACACCAUCACAAGGUAAUGCUUUAAAAUAAAAGACAUUAUUAUAGAAAACAUCUAUAGAACCAACUUCAUUAUUAAAUGAAAAGGUAAACCCUUGUUUGUACAAAGCAUGAAAGGAAAUAAUAUUUCUUGCCAUUCCUGGCGAAUAACAACACUUAUUCAAAUCUAAACUAAACCCACUACUUAGCGAUAAAGUAUAAACUCCAAUCUUGGUAACAGGUAUAGCUUUCCUAUUCCCCAUGAUCAAGUUUAUCCUUCCUUGCUCCACAUCCUCACUUCUUCUUAGUCCCUGCAAGUCACAACAAAUGUGAAUACCACACCCGGUAUCAAGGACCCAAGAAUUAGAAUGGGGUGAGUUAUUAGAAAUGAUAGUGUAAAUACCUGCAUGGUUGGGUUUAACUUUCCCAUCCUUCACAUCUUGCUGGUAUUUUGGGCAGUUCCGCUUCCAAUGAGCUUUUUCAUGGCAAUAGAAGCAUUCAGCCUCUUUUGGGUCAGAAGAAGGAGUAACGAAACCUUUCUUGGUUCCACUUGAAGAAGAGCCAUCAAGGGUCCGAGCCUUGGUACCCUUAGAAGAGCUCUUUCUCUUCCUCCCUCGACUUUUCCCGAUUGCCAAAACCGGAGUAGAGUUUUGAGUAGGAGUGAUAGCAACCGACUUCCCCUUAAGACCUGUUUCUGCGGUCUUGAGAAGUCCCUGAAGUUUGCUGAGGGUGACUUCUUCCUUGUUCAUGUGAUAUGUCAUGCGGAAUUGAUCAUAGCACGAUGGUAAGGAAUGCAAAAUAAUAUCUAUUGCAAGAUCCUCCGGGAAGUUCACAUUAAGCUUCAGCAAACGAUCCACAUACCUUUGCAUUUUCUGCAUGUGGUUCGUGACGGAUUCCCCGUCCUUCAUCAUGGUUGUUAUGAUGGAGCAGAUGAUUUCAUACCUCUCUUGUCUUGCACUUUGAUGGUAUCUUUCCAUAAGAUCUUGGUGCAUUUAAAAAGGGUAAAAGUCCUCAUAGGACUUUUGGAGUUCCGCUGUAAUUGUGUCCAACAUGAUGCAUGCCACUUUGGUAGCAUCCCUUUCAUGUGCCCGGAAGUCAGCGAUCUCCUGAGGAGUUGCAGUGGACUCAUCAAUCUCCUUAAGCUCCUUGUCAAGGACAUAUUCUUUGUCCUCGUAGCGGGUAAUCAUCCUGAUGUUUCUGAUCCACUCAUUGAAGUUGGAUCCAUCAAAGGUGACUUUCCCACACAAGUUCAUAAGGGUAAAGGAGCCAUUAGGAUUAGAGCCAGAAGCAUUGUUGAAAGACAUCUGAAGGAAAGAGGACAAGAUUAGUUUAGAUAUAAGAGAGUCCUUAAUAAAACACCCAAAUGUAAUAUUAAGGCUAGGAUCCAAUCACAAUAUAAUAUAACUUAGAAGAGGUAUGCCGUAAUCUAAGCUAUAUCAUAUUUGAAAGGUAGGUGAAUGACGAUUCACCAAUUUCCACCACGAAAACCGCAAUAUUUUAGUAUUAGGUUUUUGAAUGGUUCUUAGAAAUUCCUAGAUUCUUUGAGAUUCAAUGAACUUUUCAAAGGCAUGUUUCAAUCUCGAGUGUGCCCUCCAAGUUUUGUGACUGGGAUGCCGAGGAUCACAAAACGAGGUGUGAAGUAACCAUGCAAAUCACUUGGUACCCUUAAGGUUUAUCACUCAAUCGAUGUGCCAGUAAACCACACACGCUCCACCGAUACUAUUAUAAACC
rnacentral:lncRNA from 1 species